GACGAACGCUGGCGGCGUGCUUAACACAUGCAAGUCGAACGGAAAGGCCUCUUUCGGGGGGUACUCGAGUGGCGAACGGGUGAGUAACACGUGAGUAACCUGCCCUUGACUUUGGGAUAACUUCAGGAAACUGGGGCUAAUACCGGAUAGGAGCUCCUGCUGCAUGGUGGGGGUUGGAAAGAUUCGGCGGUUGGGGGUGGACUCGCGGCGUAUCAGCUUGUUGGUGGGGUAGUGGCUUACCAAGGCUUUGACGGGUAGCCGGCCUGAGAGGGUGACCGGCCACAGUGGGACUGAGAUACGGCCCAGACUCCGACGGGAGGCAGCAGGGGGGAAUAUUGCACAAUGGGUGGAAGCCGGAUGCAGAAACGCCGUGGGCGGGAUGACGGCCUUCGGGUUGUAAACCGCUUUCGCUCAUGACGAAGCUUUGUGUGACGGUAGUGGGUAAAGAAGCACCGGCUAACUACGUG
rnacentral:rRNA from 1 species